rnacentral:lncRNA from 1 species
AUGGGGUCUCACUUGCGUCCGUCCCUCCCCCUUUGGAGGACAGUGUGUGCCUGGAGCGCCCUCCGCGAGCUCCCGGGGAGAUGGCGGGGGGACGGGGGGAGCUCUUACAGGCUCCACCGGAAAAGAAAGGGAAACAAAAACAAACGAAGCUCCGCGGACGGGCCUCCUGGGAAGAUGAACCCGGCGAACAAUGGCAGGGCCGCGCGUUCGGCCCGCGCUCGGCCAGGUCACAGUGACGGCCCGGAACCCGGCCAGCCCACCAGCGCCGAGCACGCAGCCCGGCCACCACGGCCUCCCAACCCCCCAGCCCCCCGACCACGGUUUCCGGCCCCGGACCGGCCAAGGGGGCGGGGGCUCCCCGAAGGCCAAACUUCCUGGGGCCUCCCGGCCGGCGGGGGUUUCCGGAACAGACCCCUCCCCAGCCCCGCGUACCUGGAUGCGCGGCGCCGGAGGCCGGAGGCGGCUGCGCGGGGACGCGCGGGCGCGGGGACGGCGGGCGAGCGGGUCCCGCACUGCAGCGGCGCCGCCCUCCGUCCGCCCCCGCGCCGCGCCGAUCCACCCCCAGCCCCGCCGCCCCCUUCCCGCCGACCGCGCUCCAGGCCUUCCCCCACUCCCCGCUUGCCCCUCCCCGCCCCAUCUCACUCCCGCCCCUCACCCCGUCUAUCUCCCACAUCCCCAGGACCCACCUCUCCCUCCCCCCUAGAUUUCCCCUCACCGGCAGCCUACCCCGUCCCCUCCCUCUUUCCCCCUACUCCCUCUCUUUCUCCUCCUCUUCCCCCCCCCCCGCCCCUCCCCCGCCCCCAGGGCAUUCAGGCUGACCGGCCUCAUGCUGCACAGAAAGACCCACAGAUCCAUGUGAAGCUGCGCAGCUGGACCAGGACCACUACUACCGCCCCGCAGGCUCCCUCCUCACACCUCCACCCCCUCCACUGGAGCCCCUGCGAUUGCCCGGAUUGUCCACCCUGGCAGGUGGCAACCACCUGCUGCCUUGGGGUGAUGGCCUCCCACACCUUCACACCUGGGGUGUCACAUCUGCAUGUCACAGGGCCUGCAUUGGUGGCCAGGCAGGUCUAG